ensembl:lncRNA
GGGUGCCUAUGCCACACCUUACAGAUCUUUAAUGAAGAACUCUACAAAACCUCCUGUGUGCUGAGAACUUCAGAGAUGUAGCAGAAUAUAACACACAAGAGAGCUGCACAAUAGAGAGGCUGCUAUUUUGGAAAAUUAAAGGAUUUCAGUGACCUAAGAUGUCAGCUACCAGCACAGAAUGCUGAGUUUGUGAGAUGCAGCAAAGUUAAGGAGGGAUGCAAUUGCUCAGUUGGAGGUGAAAAGGAAAACUCAGCUCUAACAAGACAAGCUACAGACAAGGAUGGUGGGCUGUGCUGGGAAAAUCUGUGACUGAGGAGCAGAAGGAGGAAACUCACUGACAGCAUCAAAGGACCAUUGUACCCCAACUGAUUUCAGUUAUUGAAUGCUGUGAUAUAGUUAGACUCAUUGCAAGCCAAUUUUUUUAAAGCUUCACAAGUUCCAGGAGUCCAACUGGAAGCUUGAAUUUUCCUACAGUGAAAGAAACGACCCUUCACCCCUCCAGUUUGAAAUCACAAGGGAGGUGAAGGGACACACCACACUAGAGGCUGAUGGUCAAAUGAAGGAAUCGCAAUCACCAGAGCCCAGUUGUCUCUACUGGAGAGCAUCAGUCAGGGAGUUGACAAGUGAGCUGCCCUGGGGAAGGAAGCUUCUUGGGAGUAAUUUUAUCAGGGGAGAAUAAUUUCAGUAAACCUGGUAUUCAAAGUUGCUGAAGAUUUUGCUUUGCUUCUUGAGAACAUCAUAUGGCAUAUGCAGAACAACCAGAGGAUCAGGCCCAGCCAGCAUGGGUUCAUGAAAAGUAGGUAGUCAGCAGGACCAGGGAGGUGAACAGCCCUUCUAUACUCAGAACUGGGGAGGCCUCAUAUCAAGUGCUGUGUUCAGUUUUUGGCCCCUCGCUACAAGAAGGACGCUGAGGUGCUGGAGCAUGUCCGGAGAGGGGCAGUAAUAUUGAUAAAGGGUCUGGAGCACAAGCCUUAUGAAGAACAGCCAGAAGAACUCACAUUGUUCAAUUCAGAGAAGAAGAGGCUCGGGGGAGACCUUAUCACUCUCUACAAAGACCUGAAAGGAUGUUGUGAUGAGAUGGGGAUCGGCCUCUUCUCCCAGAAUUUUCUGUUUGAAAGAAUCUCCACUUUUCUGCCACCAAAUUGUCAUGGGGCUCAUUACCUCCGAUGAGAUGAGCAAUGGUGUGGAAUAACUAAACUGACCUCCUCAAAGAAACUUGCCUGUCAGGGAUAACACAGGAGAACGUGAGCUGAAGGCUCCCUAUGGCAGAGAAGGGAAAAUUAAAUGAAGGUCUCCUUGAUCCUGAGGACAUCAGCUCAGUGAGCAUUGAUGGGAACACCAUGCUGUUUGUGAUUCUCCACCCCUAGUCAAAAAAGACUUGUUCUCAGCACAGCUUUUGAAAGAACCUGGCACCUUUGCAUUCUGGACAAUGGAUGGAGCACUAGCUUCUGUCAGGAGCAGAUUGCUGGAGCUGAUGCUGGCUGGUAAUUCAAGUUGCACUUCUGCUGUGCAACUGUAAGGUGAAGGAGACAUUGUGAAGAAACCGAAAAGAUGGGUUACAAGAAGUUGAGAAGGAAAAUGCAGUUCCCCUCCCUGAUGUGCAGCAAUCUGGUAGUCUCUACUAAUAACCAGGAGCAUGAGUUCAUCAAGAUGUUGUUUUCUGGAUUUAAAUCAAGAACAUCAUUGAAAUCUGCUUUUGCUGUCAGACAUGAGCUAUCCCUUAGGAGGCAAGGAGCUGAAGCAGUAGCUGGCAUAGGUCAAGAUGGUGCUGCUGAAUCAGUUGCUGCUGAGGGAAAAUGACAUGAUUCCCACUGUGUGUGCUAUCUAUGUCUUGUCAUACUUCUGUGAAGGAGAAAAGUUGUGAAUCUCCUGAUUCCACUUCAAGACUACGUUAACAACAGGGUCAUCCAGAAUGUUCUCCCUUUCUGCUAUUUCAAGAAUUGCAAGUAUUCUUUGUGUUCUAUCAUGCAAAUGUAAAUACGAUCCCCUGGCCUUUGUGAAGCUGAACUGUAAAUGAAACAAUUGGCAAUUUCCUGCAUCUUAGGGUAAGAUUUCUUGUCUUCUUCAGUCCAUAAGAUUCCUGUCUCUCCUUCACCUGGUCUACUUCUCCACCUUUUUCUACAUUUGCUAUGUAUGGGCUGCUUCUGUUUGCCUGUUGUUCUUGAUCUAAUGGAGCCAGCCUCAAGACUGAGUUAACCUGAUUGUGUGGCUGCUGUGCUUACCAGGCCUCCUGCCUGCAGGAACACAAUGCUGCAGGACUUCCUGCAUGUCUGGAGCUGAGCCAGCACAAUUGCACCACAGUCAGUCCCAGGACUUUUUGCUGUGUCUGCAACUGUUGCCACUGAAAUCAGUGGAGCUGAUCCUCUUCCUGCUCAGCCUCUAGAAACUUGUGUCACUGCAUAUUGACAUCUAGGGUUCAUGUGGAAUAGUUUCUUGUGCCAGGAUGGCCAAGGAGGCGGCUUACAGCUGUAACAAAGGGCACAGAAGGACAAGUCCUCAGCACGCUCCUCACCCUCACAGGCACCCAGAUGCUCUUCUCUCUGCCCACUGCAUCUGAAGGCAGAUCCAUCCCUCCGUGCUUCCACCCUUAGAGUCAUUCCCUCAGGUCCCAAAGGCACUGACCCACUGUUUUAGCUGAACAUUUCUAGUUUAGGAAGCGGCCUGAAAAAAAGAGAACAUUCCUUUUCUUUGGGGUAUUUAUUUCCCCGCGCCUAUCUCAUUACAGCCUGGUCUGUUUAAACAUCAAAAGUGCUUGUGUAAAUAUAUACAACAAGGCUAAGUGAUUAGAAUAAUCUGAUGCAAAUUUCCAAGUCUACAAGCGGAUCUGAGAAAUCGACACUGUCGUAAGUUUUAUUUCCACAGCAUGAAUGGAAAUAAUAUAACGAAACAACAGGUUGUACUUCAAAGAGAAGAGAUGUUGAAAUUGUAAUAAGUAAGACAAUUGCUUGGGGGUAGGGCUGGAGCGUGGGGCACAGGGGAAGAACUCUUCUCCCAUGUAGUAGAUGCAUUUUAUUUGUUCAUAAACGCCUGAGAAAGUAAUGACGUAUCUGUGAGCAACGAGGCUCUCUUUUCCAUUAACUUUUGCUUUAGAAGGUUUUCAAAAAUCCUCGUUUACCCUCCGAGGCAAUCUGACUGCUCUGCAGCCCAACCCGCAGGCAGCCCAGCCCCUGCUGUCAUCGCCGAACAGACGAGGAAGGGAGACAUCUAAAGGCAUCCCCGGGAAGUUCACUCUCCUCCUGCACGCGCCGACCUCGGAUUUCGACCACCGGUUUGAUAGAGGCAAGUAUCCCCGUUGUGCAAAAGUAGAUCCAGCGCAGAAACAAAUUAUUUCUGAGAAGCAUUGCGCGGAUUCCCUGCAGUCGUGUCAGAGAGGACAGUCGUGUCUCAGCUCCAGCAGCCACAUACUACAGUAUGCUGCUUGCUUCCUAGCUGCGUUUCUUGAAGAGUUUUUGAUCUGCACUUCCAUGCUUUCCCAUCGCACCCCAAGGUCACUGCUGAAAGGGAAGGUGCAGAUGGAAGCUGAGGUGUAGAGGCACCACCACUCCUACCUGACAGGGGACGUGCAGGAGCAUCAGUAACACACGCAAUAAGCAUUCCAACUUCCAGGAGGCUGCACAGCAUUCCCCACUAGGAGCAAGCAGGAAAGUGGAAAAAGUCUCCUCCACUCCAGAGCUGUCAGUGGAAAUGGCUGUCUUCCCAUCAGGAUAGUGCAGUACAAAGCAGAUGGUGCAUCUGGUCCCGGAUCUGGAGCUGAGGCACCCGCCUCCUUCCCCUCACCUUGUCUGAGAUCGAUGGUAGCUCUGAGGCCCAAAGUGCUCCUUUCUUUCUUUGCCAUCAUUGCCACCCAAAGUGCAGCAGGUCAGGGAGCUGCUGGAGAGGUGACGCAUCAAGGCUGUAAGUAAGGCUUUUUCUAAUUCUUGGCACAGGCGUUUUCAUGAGAAGAAGAAGAAAAAGGUACAUUUUCAAAUCAGUAUUAGGUGAACAGUUCAGAAAUAAAAGCCUUUCCCUUAGAGAUGCAAAUCAUCUGGACUGCUCUAACAUCUUCAGGGCUCUAAUGACCUUAAAGCACUGUCUUUAUGCCAUCCGUAAGACAACCAUAGCUUGAACUGUGAAGGACAAUUUCAUUUCAAGUGACCUGGCUGGAAGCAAUAAAAAUUCAAAGACCAAAUGGAAAGAAAUACUUGCUUAAACACUCACAACUUUAUUUUUAUUUGCAUCACACAGAGCAUUGACCAGUUCUGUAUAACCUUUCUACUCCCUAGAAAUUGCAGUGUUCCGCUGUAGAAAAUGCAAAGAGUGUAAGGUCAAUGUCAAGUCAUAAAACAGCUACAAGUGCAAUUUGAGCAUUUGCAAUUAUGGGAAGAACAAGAAAAAAGGUACUUUAUGCUCCAUCUGGAAUUCUACUCCCUCUGUAAACAGUGUUAAUAAAAUACAGAUGCAAUUCAGGCCACUGGCAUUCAAAAGUCAUUAACAUGAGAAGCUGCUCAGUGGCCUGUAUGAAUCGCAUUUUGUUGGUCUUAGACCAGUGCCCAUCAGACAGACAUCUACAUUACAGCUAGUGCCAGGACCAAGUGCUGCAAUGCAUUUUCUCUCUGAAUUCCCCUUUUGGAAGUAAAGCUAAUCACUUUUGGACACCACAGAGUCCCUCCUCCCCAGCACCGCUGGUGUCCAUGCCAUACGUGAGCUCUGCAUCCAUCUGCAAGGCUGCUGGGCCAGGAUUGAAAUACAAAUAUGUACAGAGAGCCAUGGCUGACCUUAGUGCAGCAAGUAAGAACUGUCAAACUGUUCUAUAUGGUGAGGGCUGGUGCCUCUAUAACGUGUGCCUGUACAGAACCAGUUCUACAUGCUAAAUGUAGUCAAAGGCUGGCAAAAAGAUGCAGCGUGCCUGCGAGGCAGCUCUCUGGGUGCAUGAUAACCAACACAGACAGGACUAUGUUAUCAUGAAAGAAAACUAUGUACAUACUUUGUAUCUGCCAUUGGAUUUUGGCCUUGCAAGAAGAACUUCCAUGUGUGCUUCGUGCCCCUUUUAGCGUUUUAUGAACCCUUUGAGUCGGUGUUUGUCUGCUGUGGUGUCCAAAGCAAAGUACAAUGUGGCUUUGCAAGAAGUCUCUAAAUAAUCAAAGGAAAAAUAUUUGUAAACACAUCUCUUGUCUGCCAUGCAGCUUCUCCCUAAUGUGACACGGAUUUUUCCCCACAGGAGGCUGCUAAAUUAUUGCUUAAUACUGAGGCAGCAUCUCACAUACUCCCUCUGGGUUGUCCUCUCACUAUAUAAAGUAGCCUUCACUUCCAGCUAGCAUGAGCCUUAUCCCUCUGGGAGCCACCAGUUUCCACCCCACUUUUCGCAGGAUCAUCCUCUCUGAGAAAUACAGCCGUUUGCUACCAGCUGAGCAUGCCGUACUCCUCCACUCAGGCAGGUUUCAAGCCUCGUUGGAUCCAUAUGCUCCAAAUGAUCCUGCUGAUUUUUCUCCUGGUUUCUGCAUGGGGAUGACUUGUGACUGUCUCAUCCAUGCAAAGGCUGCCAUAUGCUCUUGGGUACCAGCAGGAGCAAGACAGGACGGAUUAUGACCUUCAGAGGACUGCAGCUGCCACCAAAGAAGUACAGGACCUAUGUGUAAGCUUUGAGUUUUCCUGUUAAGACUUGCUGUCUGACACGCCCCUUUGCACUCAGAUUUGUCAUGCAUCUUACAUAAUUACAUUGAAUAAUAUGCUUUGUGGCAAAAAAAUUCUCGAAGAUGUAUCUGUGAACAUACAUUUGUUUUUAAGGCUGUAAGGAUAUGGAAUGUGUAUUCAUUCACUGAGAUGCUCCCAAAAGAGUAGAAGGAUUAGCAAAUGAAAGUAAAAUAGAUCUGAUUUAUGCAGUAAUACAGUACAAAGACUGUGCAAGAAUAAUGCAAACAAUCAUUUUAUAUGUGUUUAUGCACAUUAACUCUCUAAGUGAUUAUACCGUCUCUAACAUCUAGGUUAUCACAGGGUUCUGUAAUGCUUCAAAGGACUAUAGCUGCAAAGAGACAAGCAUAAGUUCCAUUUUGGUAACAGCAAAUGCAUAUUUUUGCUCGCACAACCUGCCUCCUCUGUCAGCUGUACCUGCACUUCUGUCUGCUCUUUGGCUGAUAAAAUGCCACUGACGUCAACUAUAGCAAAGCUCCGUGCUUGAUAUCUGUGCAAAGAGGAAGAGGAUCAGGGCCACACACAAACAAAUGUCAGUCAUCAAGGGCUAAGUGCUCAGAGGAAAGGUAAGUGAAAGGGGCUUUGUGUAACUCUUCCGCCAUCCUCAGAGGUGACAUAAGGUUGGAUCUAGCUAAGGAAGACUGCGAGUUGCCUUCUUUUUACUUCGUGUGCUCUUGGAGGAAAUGCUUUGAAAAGGCUAAAGCCGCUGACAUUUUGGUGCUAUGAGAGGUGGAAUGUUAGCUAGAAAUUAAUGGAAACGCUCCCCUAAGUGUGUGAUCCAUUAAGUUGUUUUGCAACACUGGGAAAUGAAGCAUGGAGUAUUUUACUGAAGUCAGUGUCCCAUGGGGAUGAAAGAAAGAUCAGAAUCUUUCUCUGCAAUAGGCUGAGCUCUGCCAGCAAGGAUGUAGAUAUAAAAACGGAAUAUCUCCAGUUUAGUUGAAAGAAUUGCCCUGAGUUUGAAGACUAACCCAGGGUCUGUCCCACCAAAUAUGGAUGUCUUCAGCCCUGUGUGCCCAACACUCUGAACCAGCCACUGGCAGCUCAGUUGCCUGUGUGGAGAAUUUCAGCCAGAUACAGGAGGAGUGUAGGGAAACUGGGGACUCCUAAAUGGCUGUCUGGUCCCGGGUGAGGGAUACCUUGCUCGGUGCUGGGAUUUACCGUAGCUUUCUGAAUGAGUUUUGGUUUAUUCUGAUUGCACAGUCACUUACCCUGUGAAGAACUCUAAAUUUCUAUUAAGUGGAGAAAGGGCACUGCAUUGGUAUUCUGCAAAUAGCAUUCAUAACAGUCAGUCAUUCCCACUCUGCCUGCAAUUCCAGCAUGGAAGGAUGGUGUUUCAGUGUGUCGUGGCAGAACAGAUCAAUUACCAGUUUUCAAUGGAGUGCAUCUUGAUGUCGCUGCCUUUCUCCUGCAGCUGUUGACUGCCUGUGCUGUAGCUGCUCUGCUGAGCAGAGCAGCUCUCUCUGCCAGGUGUUCGACUAUUCAGCUGGUGCUUCAGCAUAUUUUCUUCUGCCUUCCCUACAGACAUGAAGGGCAGGAAAAGGCUCUGCCAGGCUUGGCCUGAAAUGGAUUUGGACUGAUGUUUUCAGGGCUACUCAGCUGCAGAUUUUUGUUUCAAACUCAACUCAGAGGAUGGAACAAAAACAACACCAACAAAAAACCUCUCAGGAGGCUUUCUUUACAUAGGAUACCUGAAAAUUGAAUGAAAGCAGAAACUGGGCAUUAAAAAUGCCAGAUUCAAAAAGCUGUUGGCACUGAACAUGGUUGAUCAAUGAUGUUUUGUUGCUACAAUGAGAGCUUUUACUGAAGCUGUUUCCCCUUGAUCUGCUGCCAGGGACCGCAGCAGAGGUCUCUGAGGAGCUCAGAAUGGAAGGCAAAGGAGUCUGGAGGAGGAAUUCCUUUGUGACAGAGACUACAGACUGAGAAAAACCUCUCAACCAUGUGCUGCAGCUACAUUUUUACAGCCAAAAGCUCAGUAAACAUUAAAAGCAGGCAGUAGACUGUUAAAAAGAAAGAAAACUCAAGCCUCAAAUGCACUUUUCAUAGUAUUCUGGCUUCAGGUUUCAUGAAAUGACAGGGGAAAUGAAACACAUCUGAAGACAGUUAGG